CUAACGUGGAUCCGUAAUCCGGGUUGCGGACAGUGUCUGGUGGGUAGUUUGACUGGGGCGGUCUCCUCCUAAAGAGUAACGGAGGAGCACGAAGGUUGGCUAAUCCUGGUCGGACAUCAGGAGGUUAGUGCAAUGGCAUAAGCCAGCUUGACUGCGAGCGUGACGGCGCGAGCAGGUGCGAAAGCAGGUCAUAGUGAUCCGGUGGUUCUGAAUGGAAGGGCCAUCGCUCAACGGAUAAAAGGUACUCCGGGGAUAACAGGCUGAUACCGCCCAAGAGUUCAUAUCGACGGCGGUGUUUGGCACCUCGAUGUCGGCUCAUCACAUCCUGGGGCUGAAGUAGGUCCCAAGGGUAUGGCUGUUCGCCAUUUAAAGUGGUACGCGAGCUGGGUUUAGAACGUCGUGAGACAGUUCGGUCCCUAUCUGCCGUGGGCGCUGGAGAACUGAGGGGGGCUGCUCCUAGUACGAGAGGACCGGAGUGGACGCAUCACUGGUGUUCGGGUUGUCAUGCCAAUGGCACUGCCCGGUAGCUAAAUGCGGAAGAGAUAAGUGCUGAAAGCAUCUAAGCACGAAACUUGCCCCGAGAUGAGUUCUCCCUGAGACUUAGAGUCUCCUGAAGGAACGUUGAAGACGACGACGUUGAUAGGCCGGGUGUGUAAGCGCAGCGAUGCGUUGAGCUAACCGGUACUAAUGAACCGUGAGGCUUAACCUUACAACGCCGAAG
rnacentral:rRNA from 1 species